AACGAACGCUGGCGGCAUGCCUAACACAUGCAAGUCGAACGAGACCUUCGGGUCUAGUGGCGCACGGGUGCGUAACGCGUGGGAACCUGCCCUUAGGUUCGGAGUAACUCCCCGAAAGGGGUGCUAAUACCGGAUAAUGUCUUCGGACCAAAGAUUUAUCGCCUUUGGAUGGGCCCGCGUUGGAUUAGCUAGUUGGUAGGGUAAAAGCCUACCAAGGCGACGAUCCAUAGCUGGUCUGAGAGGAUGAUCAGCCACACUGGGACUGAGACACGGCCCAGACUCCUACGGGAGGCAGCAGUGGGGAAUAUUGGACAAUGGGCGAAAGCCUGAUCCAGCAAUGCCGCGUGAGUGAUGAAGGCCUUAGGGUCGUAAAGCUCUUUUACCCGGGAUGAUAAUGACAGUACCGGGAGAAUAAGCUCCGGCUAACUCCGUG
rnacentral:rRNA from 1 species